GACAGAGUGAGACCCCGUCUCAAAAAAAAGGACACCGCAGCUCUGCAGGCCUGUUUUGCACCAAUUUUGUUCAUGAGGAGACACAAACAUUCAGAACAUCGCCUUUAUUUUAUUUUGUUUUAAAUUAAUACUCUAUUUUUUAGAGCAGUUUUAGGUUCACAGCAAAAUUCGGAGGAAAGGACAGAGAUUUCCCUUGGCAUCCUGCCCUAACCCACACACAGACUCCCCAGCAAAGCGAUUUGCUGCAGUUGAGGGCCCUCCCUUGACAUGUCAUCAUCUCCCAGAGUCCAGAGUUUACAUUAGGGCUCACUUUUGGUGUUUGCAUUCUGUGGGUUUUGACAAAUGUCUAAUGACCUGGAUUCAUCAGUACCAUAUCAUGCAGGAUAGUUUCACGGCCCUAAAAAUCCUCUGGGCUCCAGCUGUUCAUCUCCCCUCCUCUACCCCUUUCCUUGUAACCACUGAGCCUUUUACUGCCUCCAUGAUUUUGUCUUUCCUGAAUGUCAUAGAGUUGGAAUCACACAGCAUGCAGUCUUUUCAGGUUGGCUUCUUUCUCUUAGUAAUAUGCACUUAAGAUUCCUCCACAUCUUUUCAUGGCUUGAUAGCUCAUUUCUUUUUAGCUCUGAGAAAACCAGCUAUAAACAACUUGGCACUGAAUAGAGAAAAAAGUUCUCCCUGAAAUUUGUAGCCUCAAUCCAGCCCUUACAUGGUUUGCAGUGUGAGUUCACACUACCUAGGUGGUCCAAAGAGCCUCAACUUGAAAAUGCAGUUUAGAGUAGCCAGAGUCUGCAACACCUU
rnacentral:lncRNA from 1 species